rnacentral:rRNA from 1 species
AGUGAACGCUGGCGGUAUGCCUAACACAUGCAAGUCGAACGGCAGCACAGUAAGAGCUUGCUCUUACGGGUGGCGAGUGGCGGACGGGUGAGGAAUACAUCGGAAUCUACUUUUUCGUGGGGGAUAACGUAGGGAAACUUACGCUAAUACCGCAUAUGACCUACGGGUGAAAGCAGGGGAUCUUCGGACCUUUCGCGAUUGAAUGAGCCGAUGUCGGAUUAGCUAGUUGGCGGGGUAAAGGCCCACCAAGGCGACGAUCCGUAGCUGGUCUGAGAGGAUGAUCAGCCACACUGGAACUGAGACACGGUCCAGACUCCUACGGGAGGCAGCAGUGGGGAAUAUUGGACAAUGGGCGCAAGCCUGAUCCAGCCAUACCGCGUGGGUGAAGAAGGCCUUCGGGUUGUAAAGCCCUUUUGUUGGGAAAGAAAAGCAGCAGGUUAAUACCCCGCUGUUCUGACGGUACCCAAAGAAUAAGCACCGGCUAACUUCGUG